GUAGGGGGCAAGCGUUAUCCGGAUUUACUGGGUGUAAAGGGAGCGUAGGCGGUGAUGCAAGUCAGAAGUGAAAGCCCGCAGCUCAACUGCGGGACUGCUUUUGAAACUGUAUGACUAGAUUGCAGGAGAGGUAAGUGGAAUUCCUAGUGUAGCGGUGAAAUGCGUAGAUAUUAGGGGGAACACCAGUGGCGAAGGCGGCUUACUGGACUGUAAAUGACGCUGAGGCUCGAAAGCGUGGGGAGCAAA
rnacentral:rRNA from 1 species